rnacentral:tRNA from 1 species
UUAGUUAAAGCCAAAUUAGCGGCCUACCACUGUUAAUGGUAAAACUGAACCGUAGUUCUAACUAAG